CAAAGCGCUAUUCUGGGAACAUGG
rnacentral:piRNA from 1 species